rnacentral:lncRNA from 1 species
UAGCCCCUAAAUGAAUAAAUCAAUGGGUGAGUGAGUUUUAGUGGUGGUGGCUUAAACCUUUUAAGUUGUUUUUAAUUUUGUGUCUCUUGUGAAUGCAGGUGCCCACUGAAGCCAGAUGUGUUAGAAUCCCCUGGAGCUGGACUCUCUAAUUGCCUGAAGAUGACAUUGAACCCCUGGUUCCCCUCCCUCCCCUCCAGCCCCAAGACCUGCCUGAUUUAUCCUGUGCUGGGAUAGAAACUAGGACUUCAUGCAUGCCGGAUGAACUCGGAAGCCAGAGGCUUUGGACUGUGCACAACUCUAUUACUUACUGGGUUUGUGAAUUUGGUUAGGCCACAGAACCUUUCCGUGCCUCUGAAAUAUCUGUAAAGUAGUGGGUGGCGGCACAGGAGCCUUUCCCUGAUCACGGCUUCAUUUUCUUU